rnacentral:rRNA from 1 species
UACGGAGGGGGCUAGCGUUGUUCGGAAUUACUGGGCGUAAAGCGCACGUAGGCGGACUGUUAAGUCGGGGGUGAAAUCCUGGAGCUCAACUCCAGAACUGCCUUUGAUACUGGCGAGCUUGAGUUCGGGAGAGGUGAGUGGAACUGCGAGUGUAGAGGUGAAAUUCGUAGAUAUUCGCAAGAACACCAGUGGCGAAGGCGGCUCACUGGCCCGGUACUGACGCUGAGGUGCGAAAGCGUGGGGAGCAAACAGG